rnacentral:ncRNA from 2 species
GCGGCACGACAGGGGAGCACAGCCAACUGGCUGAGCUGAGAGUGCCACAGGGCAGACCCUCGAACCUGCUCCGGGUAAUACCGGCGAAGGGAGUCGAGUUCUCUAGCGC